rnacentral:lncRNA from 1 species
UCAAGCUCAUGGUUGUUGUGCUUUUUUUGUUAUUGCAUUGUGUUUGUUUUUGCACUGCAGUUGCAGGUUCCUCAGGAGGGAAGAAAGGGAAAUGGCAGCUUCUCCUGAACAACACUGGUGUGGUGGGUAUGCAUAUGGCCUUAACCCAUCAUGGCACCGUAAUAAUAUUCGAUCAAAUUGGAGUGGGCCAGUCGGGUUAUGGACUCCGUCGAAGGUAUAAUGGAACAAGGUGCAUGAAUACUCAGCAUGAUUUAACAGACUGGUCCUGCUUUGCUCACUCUGUUG